rnacentral:rRNA from 1 species
GGUUCAGGAUGAACGCUGGCGGCGUGCCUAACACAUGCAAGUCGAACGGGGUGUCUGAUCUUCGGACUGGACACUUAGUGGCGGACGGGUGAGUAACGCGUGGGUAACCUGCCUCAUACAGGGGGAUAGCAGUUGGAAACGACUGAUAAUACCGCAUAAGCGCACAGUACCGCAUGGUACAGUGUAGAAAAACUCCGGUGGUAUGAGAUGGACCCGCGUCUGAUUAGCUUGUUGGCGGGGUAACGGCCCACCAAGGCGACGAUCAGUAGCCGGCCUGAGAGGGUGAACGGCCACAUUGGGACUGAGACACGGCCCAAACUCCUACGGGAGGCAGCAGUGGGGAAUAUUGCACAAGUACGGGGAAACCCUGAUGCAGCGACGCCGCGUGAAGGAUGAAGUUAUUUCGGUAUAGUAAACUUCUAUCAGCGAGGGAAGAUGAUGACGGUACCUGACUAAGAACGCCCCGGCUAACUACGUGCCAGCCGCUGC